UUCUCUUCCCUCUGUGCCCGACCCCCCCUGGCACUGUUCAUCCGAGCUGAUUUUGGGCCGCCACCACCGCAUCCGGCCACCAAAGUUAACGGGGCCGGUACCAAAAUGACCGGGCCGCCGUCCUCUUCCAACCCCAGCCAGGCCCCGCCGCCAACCGCUGUGAUUUCGCCGGAAAACGAAGAGAAAUGCGCCGGUUUUGACAGAAACUUUGCCGCCUCCGUUCUCCGUCGUCCGGCCGCCAUUUUUGGCGAUCCAGGUUGAAAUUUGGGGAAUGUUCAAUUUACAAAGGAGACUUUGCUGAAAUUUCGGUAGGAAGUCUCGUGCCCUUAAUCCUUUUUGGGAAAGGAGGAUAUAGUUUCAGUGAAUGGGCCUGACAUCGGGGUGAUGUUGGGAAUUCCACAGGAUUCGUCUCGGGUUCCGAGAAAUUCGGGGCGGGUCCUGUUAGAAGGCAUUGGAAGUGGCCACAAAGUUACAUGGUGAAGGAUGCACAUGUCGGCUAGGAUUGCUUCAAUGGCGUAUAUAUGUUUAAUUUUCUAUUA